GCAGACGCGAGAGCCCCCUCUGGUUAUAUAAGGGAGGGCCGCCACGCUUAUAGUCCUUUUGUGUUUGCGGCACCUUACUUGGUAGUCUUCCGCUGGUGCUUCCUAGUCCGACGGCGUCCUACCCUGGGAACCCGGGUUGACUGCUGUGUGUGUUCGCAGGUUAGCGUGGUCAGAGGGUACGGAAUGGAUCUUGGAGGAGGGGGUCGCUGCUGGGCCUCGACGAGAACGCCGUGUAGACAUCUACAGCCUUCAGUCUCCUGAUCUCUGGGGUUUGCUGUUGGCAGAAAGCACACUUGGAAUGGGCCAGGAUGAAUCUGGGAGUGGGAAAGGAUUGGUCAGGAGCCAUGUGUGCCACAGGGCAGGAAGAAGGUUGGCUGCAGCCUGAUCUUCCUCUCGACUUGAUUCAGUAUGUCCUGUAACAGGUGUUUCUCAACUGGAGUUGGAAUACAAGGACUCUUGAAAAAGAUUGACCCUGUGUUUACCUGAGAAAGGUGGUUGAAUCUGUCCACAAGGUUAUUGUAUAACUUGAGAACUGUCUACAAAGUUGAAAACUGCCCAUUUUGAAGAAUCAAGGAUUAUUAUUAAACUUUUUUUUUAUUAAAGAUUGGUACCUGAGCUAA